CGCCCGGAAGUGGCAACAAGACUGCAACAUCCCCUCACGCCUAGUCUGUAAAGAACUUUGUUUAACCCGGAGGCGGGGCCAGCCAGCUCCGCCCCUCCAGCUGGACGCGGGAGCGAGGUUGAGGUUCAUACCCCUGGGUUCUCUCCAGGCCUGAGGCGGAGAGCCAGCCGCCUGCCUACCUCUGGGCUUUGAACCCCGGGUCUGGUGACUUCGCUUAAAGACCUCGGGCCGAAGGCCCGCCAGGCUCAACCUCGGUUCACAGGACCCCCGACUUGUGUCAAGGAAGAGCAAGACUGAAAAUGUUUACCAGAUUUAUAAUCGAGGAGGUCCUGGAUGACCUUGGCAAAAGCAACCCCAAUGGCAUGGGAAUGAAUGUUUACCAAGAUGAUGCCAGUAUAGCUAGUGAGAUGCAGCACCCCAUCCUCAGCCCCCUCGCCUCUGGAAGAGACACCAGACUGCAAAGGGCACCGCGUACAGAAGCUAACGGAACUUGAAUGACAAGACAAAAAGAGCAGAAUCAGUUAGUGUGACACAACAUUCUAACAUGCCUGAUUCUUACAUCAAAUAUGGUAACUUUGGGGUUGGUAGGGGGAGACAAACAAGGAGAAUCCACUUGGGAACAAUUUGAUGAAGUUUGCAAAUCAGCACUUUACCCCCAAAUUAACAACAGCUUGUAUGGAAAAAAAAAUGCUCUUUUAAAAGUAUAUGGUUUGGACAGGUAUAUUUGUUUUCUCUUGUAGUUUUUGUAAAAAAGUAUCAAAACCUUGGCUUUAAAUAUAUAUAUAUAUAUAUAUAUACACACACACACACGUGGCUUUUUAAAAAUUACUUUUUUAUAGCACAAAGUGUUUGUAAAUGCAGAGGGUUUCUGCUAAUUCUUGACUGUGCACAUGGUGCAUAGCCUGAAUGAACAGAGCUUCCUGAUUUUUUUUUAACUGAAAAAUUGAAGCAGUAAUUCUUUAACCUUCUAAAUUCUCCAUACCCUAAAAAUACAGUGUGAGAAGUCUGUUACUCUAUCUUCAUGCAUUUCGGGAAAAGGAAUUAUUUACUCUGAAACAUUUAAUGCUAACUCAUUUAUAUUUUGUGAAACGAUGAGUGUAUGGCUGGAGUUCGGGGGGUAGGGUGGAGAGGCUUGCAUUCCUGUGCCAUUUCCCCAUUCCCACCAGUGCCCAACUGGACAGUGAUUAGUAUCCCCUCUCCAGACUCAACGUCUUCAACAUUUUCGUUUUUCUUUCUCACAGUUGAGAAAAUCUAAGAGGCUCUCGACAACAUGGCAUGCAUCUGUGAAAAUCCCACUGCCCUUAUAUUAGUCUUCAUUGACCAUAUAAAAAAUCUUUGACUCAAAUAUAUGAAAAGCAGUCAGCAUUUCCCUUUGGCCACUGGAAAGCUUGAGGCUGAAUAAUAUCAGUUCUGCAAAGUGCUGGCAAUGCAUCCUAAUGAAUUUUCCAUGAUGCAUGUAGUGCCUUGUACACAAUGAUCAAGAAAUGCUUCAUUGAAUCAGAAAUUAAUCUAUUUUAUAAAGUGCUUACAUUGAAUCUCUUUCCAUACAGCCUCAUUUCUUGCCCCCCUUGAGCCUUUUGUUCCUGUUAGAAUGAACUGUGCAAUUCCUAAAGUCCCUGUGCUCUUUCAUACCUCUGUGUUUUAGCUCGAUGUGUCUCUGUCUGAAGCAGCUUGGAAUCCCCUUCUUAAUUUUUAAGACUUAAGGUCACUUCUAUGAUGACCCUAUUCCUCAUUUCUUAGGUGGAAAGACCCCUCUCUCCUUUGAGCCCUAACAGUGCUCUGAAUAGAAUCAAUGCCUUUUUUGUUUCCACAUAUAUCAUCCUCCACUGCUACUGUGAACUCUGUAAAGUCAGAACAUGUGUGACUGACCUUUACAUCUGCAGUGCCAGGUGUGUAGUUGGUAUCUAGUGAGUGGUUUUAGUGAAUGAAUAUACUGCAGUCAUACUGAGAUAACUGGAGGGAUCAAUAGGACUUACUGCCAUACAUUUAAAUCCGAUCUCAUUCUCUUUUUGCCAGUUAACAGGUUACUUCAAUCUGUUUUAUAAAUAAUCUGUGUAUCAAGAGUAAAUAAGUACAGUUUCGUUUUCUCUGUUUCUAGAAGGCAUUUCAGUUAGUGCCUUUGUAAUUCCACUGGAGGAAAGGUAGACCAUAGUAUAGGUAGCAGGUUUGAUACAAUGUUCAGGCAGCCCAAAAUAGUCUUCCUGCAGAAGGAAAUGGAGGAAACGCACUGGGACUGGCUUCUGAUAAAUUUUCUGCCCCCUUGGCAUUGUCUCUGAGCUUCCUUCCAGCUCUAUAGUCCAGUGACUCUGUGAUCUGUGAUUGGCUGUAGAUAGCUAUGCACGGGGGCAAAAGGCAAAAGAUAUGUAACUGUACCUCAAAAUGAGGCUGAAAAGCCUCUAUGAAUGGGGGAAGGUGGAUCUGACUCCUCAGGUUUCAUCUUAUUUACUGCCGUCCAACACAUGAAUAUAUCACAAUUUGUUUCUUGUAAAGGGUUGCUCCCAUUGCUGCCUCUUUCAAACUGCAGUUGUAGCAUAUGCAGGAAACAUGAAUGUCUCUGAGAAAAAGUUGUGAAUUUCAUUGUCAUUUUGAGAUCUCAGGCUGUAUGUCCAGACCCCAUUCAUCAUUUUUUUCUGUGAAUGCCAGGAUCUUACUGAAAGUUUAGAAACUAUGCCUUAGCCACUGUUAUCAUUUAAUUCCUUGGAAAAUUCAGUUUCUUUGGAAGGUUACAGAAAAAGUCACUUGUUUUGAGUACAUUUCCAUGUUUUUCACUGUCAUCAUUUUUCUUCAGUCAAAAAUAAUUUUACUUUCCGUUCUUAAAAGAAUAGUAAUAUGUGAGUAAGCUCCAUAGGAGUUGGCCACCUGUUCUUAAAAUUCUGUUUGGUAUUGGUCAUUCUAGGUCAACUGCAUUUACCCUCUCAAUGAAUGUUUCAGGACUAUCAACACAUGCAUGUCAUGAGGAGAUUGCUGGAUUAUGCAAAACACACUGCCCAAGCUCCAGAAUAUAGUUAUUUUCUUAGAGUUUAGGAGGCCAAGAGUGACACAGAGGAAGGUCCUAGGUACAGGAUGCUAGAACUCCAGAAUGUCUGACUGAAAAUUCAAAGGGUAUCAAGCUGGUGAGACAUCCAACUUCAUUGAGUUGGGGGCAUCUGGCAGGUAGGGAUGGGAAGGCAUUUGCUUAAGUGUGUCAAGUUCCAGGUAUGAUGAGAUUAGAUGCAGCUCCUCUGCUCCUACUUAAGUCAAACACUUCCAUGUUGCACCUUGUCCCUGGUUGUCUAGUGGGAGUAAGUGGCAGAACAGCAGAGUUAAGAAACUCAAACUCUUUCUCUUUGGAUGGGAAAGCCACUGGGGACUGAAUCCUUCUGGGACUAUAGGAUUAUGUUUCCAAUGGGAGACCCCACAAGUAGAAAAGAGCACUUCUCCCUUCCUCCCCCAAGGCCAAGAAAAGCAAAGAAGAUGUCUAUAAUGAAGAACAUCUAUACAUAUACCCGGAGUUUUUCCUUUUAUUUACAAAGCAGUAAACCAAAUUCCUGU
rnacentral:lncRNA from 1 species